rnacentral:rRNA from 1 species
UACGUAGGGUGCGAGCGUUGUCCGGAAUUAUUGGGGCGUAAAGGGCUCGUAGGCGGUUUGGUCGCGUCGUUUGUGAAAACUCACAGCUCAACUGUGAGCCUGCAGGCGAUACGGGCAGACUUGAGUACUGCAGGGGGAGACUGGAAUUCCUGGUGUAGCGGUGGAAUGCGCAGAUAUCAGGAAGAACACCGAUGGCGAAGGCAGUUCUCCUGGGCCGUAACUGACGCUGAGGAGCGAAAGCGUGGGGGAGCAAACAGG